rnacentral:rRNA from 1 species
GGACGAACGCUGGCGGCGUGCUUAACACAUGCAAGUCGAACGGUAAGGCCCUUUCGGGGGUACACGAGUGGCGAACGGGUGAGUAACACGUGAGUAACCUGCCCAUCACUUCGGGAUAACGCUGGGAACUGGUGCUAAUACCGGAUAUGAGCUCCUGCUGCAUGGUGGGGGUUGGAAAGUUCUGGCGGUGGUGGAUGGACUCGCGUCCUAUCAGCUUGUUGGUGAGGUUGUGGCUCACCAAGGCGUCGACGGGUGCCGGCCUGAGAGGGUGACCGGCCACAUUGGGACUGAGAUACGGCCCAGACUCCUACGGGAGGCAGCAGUGGGGAAUAUUGCACAAUGGGCGAAAGCCUGAUGCAGCAACGCCGCGUGCGGGAUGACGCCUUCGGGUUGUAAACCGCUUUCACCAGGGACGAAGGGCCUUUCGGGGUUUGACGGUACCUGGAGAAGAAGCACCGGCUAACUAC